UGGGGAAUAUUGCACAAUGGGCGAAAGCCUGAUGCAGCGACGCCGCGUGAGGGAUGACGGCCUUCGGGUUGUAAACCUCUUUCAGCAGGGACGAAGCGCAAGUGACGGUACCUGCAGAAGAAGCACCGGCUAACUACGUGCCAGCAGCCGCGGUAAUACGUAGGGUGCAAGCGUUGUCCGGAAUUACUGGGCGUAAAGAGUUCGUAGGCGGUUUGUCGCGUCGUUUGUGAAAACCAGCAGCUCAACUGCUGGCUUGCAGGCGAUACGGGCAGACUUGAGUACUGCAGGGGAGACUGGAAUUCCUGGUGUAGCGGUGGAAUGCGCAGAUAUCAGGAGGAACACCGGUGGCGAAUGCGGGUCUCUGGGCAGUAACUGACGCUGAGGAACGAAAGCGUGGGUAGCGAACAGG
rnacentral:rRNA from 1 species